GCCUUCGUGGUGUAGUGGUCAGCACACUCGAUGCGUAUUCGAGAGGUCCGAGGUUCGAGUCCCGGCGAAGGCA
rnacentral:tRNA from 1 species